GCCCUCUAAACAAAAUUGUAGGUAAAAAAAACUUAUCGUAACAUUAUCUAGGGAGUAAUAUGCAAAUAAUUAAGACAAUUACGCCCAAUCAGCCUAAAAAAUUAUAACCAAAUAAGUAACAGAAUUAUAAACAAGCGGUGAUCCUAUGUGUGUCGAGCAAUGCAUAGACGAGAUACAACUUCUUAAGCAACAAUGCAACAGGGAAUACGAUUGGCA
rnacentral:lncRNA from 1 species